GCCGUGAUAUUUCAGCCGGGAGAACGCUAAACUGGAGAUCUAGAUGAUACUGGUUCAAGUUUGGCCCACAGCA
rnacentral:tRNA from 1 species